AUGCACACCACGCACACCGCAGCACAUCGCAUGCAUGCACGUGUACACACGCUCCCCCCAUGCAUGGAUGUGCUGUGAGCCUGGGAGCCAGGCUCUUGGUGCACUGUGUAAAGGGUGUGUAAAAUGAAAAUUUUUUGAAUCAGACACACAGGUGGCCAUUCUAGAGCCCUCCUGUGCACCUCUCGUGUCGUGUUCAGUCACUUAGCGCUGUGGAAAUCCAGCUCAGACACAGCAAGGAGCCCUGCGUGGGUUUGCCCGCAGUGGUGCGCUGGCUCGGUUGAGACUCAGAGGCUGGGAUGUCCAGAGGCGGCUCCGCCACAGCCAUUCUGCCCUCUGUGGCCACACCUUGCUCUCCUGCAGAGGCUAGAAAGCCAAACACGUUUCCCAAACUCCUCGCAGCGGAGUGUCUGGAAGUGGCUUCGGUGCUGCUGAGCGAUGGGUCAAGAAUUCAGGAAGGGAUCUUUGGGGGUCAGUCUGUCCUAUGAGUGUGUUCGGAAGUCACUGGGCUGCGAGUCCAAGACGGGACACCCACGAGGCUGGAGCUCUGCAGGGCCGUUGCCUGGACGCCACCCAUGGUGUCUCCAGCGUGGCGCUCACAGGAUGCUGGACGUUUCCACGUGGGGCUGGUCUCCUCUCAUGGAGCCUCCGAAGACACCAGGUGGGAGCUGCAGGGCACUUCUGACGUGGCCGCGGGAGCCCUGUGCCGCCGCUCCCUUCUCAGACCCCACCUCUCCGUGGGACAGCCCCAUAGAACUUGCAGAGCUGUUAAAGGCUGUAGCAGAGGGAGGUGGCACCCUGGGGGCCGCAGCAGCCCUGGGAGUGUGGCUUCCCUGCGGGUGUGGAGAUUGGGCUCCGGGUGUUUCUGGGGCAACUCAAGCAGAGAUUCUGGAGCCGUUCUCAUCCUGGAAUGCAGGCUUUUCAUUCAUAGAAACAGCAAGUGGCCAUGAGUGUGAUUUAUUGGGAAUUGGAGGUGAGAAGAGGGUUGCACGGUCUCCUAAACCAACCUGAGGAAACAGGUGGUCAUUGUUGGCAUUUAACUGUGAGUAUUUCCUAAGCCUGCCGUAGAUUGAGACUCACUGCCAUAGCUGUAAAGGGUGUGGACAUCAUGGGGAUGGGGGUUGGUCUCAGGAGGGAGGCAGGGCUCCCAUUUUUACUAACACCAGAUUUACAGGAUCAGCUCAGCAAAAAGACUGCUUUUUUUCUGGCUGGCUGAAAAUAAAUGGGAGAGAGAAAA